rnacentral:lncRNA from 13 species
AUGUGGCAGGGCUUGCAAACUAUUACAGACUACAAAGUGAAGCACAGCCGCGAGCUGCCCAGUGACACGAGACUACCAGACAAGCUAAAUCACUUCUAUGCUCGCUUCGAGGCAAGCAACACUGAGGCAUGCAUGAGAGCAUCAGUUGUUCCGGGCGACUGUGUGAUCACGCUCUCCGUAGCCGACGUGAGUAAGACUUUUAAACAGGUCAACAUACACAAGGAUGUGGGGCCAGACGGAAUACCAGGAUGUGUGCUCUGGGCAUGUGCUGACCAACUGGCAGGUGUCUUCACUGACAUUUUCAACAUGUCCCUGAUUGAGUCUGUAAUACCAAUAUGUUUCAAGCAGAUCACCAUAGUCCCUGUGCCCAGGAACACAAAGGCAACCUGCCUAAAUGACUACAUACCCGUAGCACUCACGUCUGUAGCCAUGAAGUGCUUUGAAAGGCUGGUAAUGGCACUCAUCAACACCAUUCUCCCAGAAACCCUAGACCCACUCCAAUUUGCAUACCACACAAACAGAUCCCCAAAUUAUGCCAUCUCUAUUGCACUCCACACUGCCCUUUCCCACCUGGACAAAAGGAACACCUAUGUGAGAAUGCUGUUCAUUGACUACAGCUCAGCGAUCAACACCAUUGUACCCUCAAAGCUCAUCACUAAGCUAAGGAUCCUGGGACUAAACAACUCCCUCUGCAACUGGAUCCUGGACUUCCUGUCGGGCCGCCCCCAGGUGGUGAGGGCAGGUAGCAACACAUCUGCCACGCUGAUCCUCAACACUGGAGCUCCCCAGGGGUGCGUGCUCAGUCCCCUCCUGUACUCACUGUUCACCCACGACUGCAUGGCCAGGCACGACUCCAACACCAUCAUUAAGUUUGCAGACGACACAACAGUGAUGAUCACCGACAACGAUGAGACAGCCUAUAGUGAGGAGGUCAGAGACCUGGCUGGGUGGUGCCAGAAUAACAACCUAUCCCUCAACUUAACCAAGACUAAGGAGAUGAUUGUGGACUACAGGAAAAGGAUCACCGAGCACGCCACCAUUCUCAUGGCAAGGAAACUAAAAGGACUUGGCAUGGGUCCUGAGAUCCUCAAAAGGUUCUACAGCUGCAACAUUGAGAGCAUCCUGACCGGUUGCAUCACUGCCUGGUACGGCAAUUGCUCGGCCUCCAACCGCAAGGCACUUCAGAGGGUAGUGCGUCCUGCCCAGUACGUCACUGGGGCAAAGCUGCCUGCCAUCCAGGAUCUCUACACCAGGGGAAGGCCCUAA